rnacentral:rRNA from 1 species
AGUUAGUGGCGGACGGGUGAGUAACGCGUGGAAAACCUGCCGUAUACUGGGGGAUAACACUUAGAAAUAGGUGCUAAUACCGCAUAAGCGCACGGCUUCGCAUGAAGCGGUGUGAAAAACUCUGGUGGUAUACGAUGGUUCCGCGUCUGAUUAGCUAGUUGGUGGGGUAAUGGCCUACCAAGGCAACGAUCAGUAGCCGGCCUGAGAGGGGUGAACGGCCACAUUGGGACUGAGACACGGCCCAAACUCCUACGGGAGGCAGCAG